rnacentral:rRNA from 1 species
UCCGGUAACCUUACCGAGAGGGUCACACCCGUUCCCAUCCCGAACACGGAAGUUAAGCCUCUCUGGGCCGAUGGUACUGCGCGGGCAACUGUGUGGGAGACUAGGUCGUCGCCGGGA